rnacentral:lncRNA from 10 species
CGUCGCUUUCUAGUGUCUGUGGUGUCGGCGCUGCAGGAUGACGCGAGCCUCUCGCGUCCCUGGUUUUCUCGGUCGCAGCGUUGAGUUAUUGGGUGGAAAGGCAUCACCUUAGAGUCAACCUUCUUUGAAACCACUGUCUCAGAGAAAUCCCUCCAAGACACAGGUAAUUAGAGAGGGUAUGUGAACCAAGGAGCCAAUCAAAUUCUCCCACAUAAGAAUUUGGGACACAGAAGAUGAAGCUGAGGACCACAAGGAUUUAGAUACUGAUGCUAAAGGAAAAAGGAAGAAGCAGAGGGUCAGCAGAUGUUGAAAGAGGUAUAAUCAAGCUCAUACUCCAUUAAACAGAAAGCAAACUAAGAGCUGGAGAGAUGAAGAGACUUGGUCAACAUCAUACAUAUCUUUCAGCCAAGUUGCUUAAGAACAACAGUUGACUAGAACUGCACGUCUUCCUUCAAACACUGUCUACUGCAGAAUGCAAACAGGAACCUCUGGGAAUAUCUGAACUAACUCCUGUUGUAUCAAAGGUCUUGAGAACUCUGGCCACCUGCCACUCAUCUGUGCUAUACCCAAUAGCAGCCUUAUUAGGCUUUUGGAUCCUAGAGUUGCUGCUAUCUCUCGUACCACAAAACCACCUGCUUCUGAUUCUCUAGGAAGACUGCUGAGAGUCAACAUCGAGCCACUGGUGAAAAUAAUGUCUUGGGAGCAUCUGAGAGUGCUUAU